ACAAGGCAUGGUGGCGCAUACCUGUAAUCCCAGAGGCUCAGGAGGCUGAAACAGGAGGAUCGUGAGUUCAGUGCCAGCCUCAGCAAUGGUGAGGCACUGAUCAACUCAGUGAGACCCUGUCUCUA
rnacentral:sRNA from 1 species